rnacentral:sRNA from 1 species
UCCUAGCCCUGAUGGGAGCGGUAUCCUUUUGUGUUCGCUUUUGCGGAAACAAAAGAUAUAGCAUACAGCAGGAAAUAGC